UACGGAGGGUGCGAGCGUUGUCCGGAAUCACUGGGCGUAAAGGGCGCGUAGGCGGCGCGGGUAGUCGUCGGUGAAAGCUCAGGGCUCAACCCUGAGUCGGCCGGUGAUACUCCCGUGCUCGAGCACUGUAGAGGCAGGUGGAAUUCCGGGUGUAGCGGUGGAAUGCGCAGAUAUCAGGAGGAACACCGGUGGCGAAGGCGGAUCUCUGGGCCAUUACUGACGCUGAGGAGCGAAAGCGUGGGGAGCGAACAGG
rnacentral:rRNA from 1 species